CCCUUAGAUGUUCUGGGCUGCACGCGCGCUACACUGAUGCGUUCAACGAGUUUAUGACCUUGCCCGAUAGGGUUGGGUAAUCUUUUUAAAUCGCAUCGUGAUGGGGAUAGAUUAUUGCAAUUAUUAAUCUUCAACGAGGAAUUCCUAGUAAGCGCGAGUCAUCAGCUCGUGCUGAUUACGUCCCUGCCCUUUGUACACACCGCCCGUCGCUACUACCGAUUGAACGUUUUAGUGAGGUAUUUGGACUGGACCUUCGGAGGUUCGCGCCUCCGUUGCUGUUCGGGAAGACUCCCAAACUUGAGCGUUUAGAGGAAGUAAAANUCGUANCA
rnacentral:rRNA from 1 species